CGGAACGUGCCCAAUCGUGGGGGAUAGCUCGGCGAAAGCCGGAUUAAUACCGCAUACGAUCUACGGAUGAAAGCAGGGGACUCGCAAGGGCCUUGCGCGAAUGGAGCGGCCGAUGGCAGAUUAGGUAGUUGGUGGGGUAAAGGCUCACCAAGCCGACGAUCUGUAGCUGGUCUGAGAGGACGACCAGCCACACUGGGACUGAGACACGGCCCAGACUCCUACGGGAGGCAGCAGUGGGGAAUUUUGGACAAUGGGCGCAAGCCUGAUCCAGCAAUGCCGCGUGCAGGAUGAAGGCCUUCGGGUUGUAAACUGCUUUUGUACGGAACGAAAAGGCUCUGGUUAAUACCUGGGGCUCGUGACGGUACCGUAAGAAUAAGCACCGGCUAACUACGUGCCAGCAGCCGCGGUAAUACGUAGGGUGCGAGCGCUAAUCGGAAUUACUGGGCGUAAAGCGUGCGCAGGCGGUGAUGUAAGACAGUUGUGAAAUCCCCGGGCUCAACCUGGGAACUGCAUCUGUGACUGCAUCGCUGGAGUGCGGCAGAGGGGGAUGGAAUUCCGCGU
rnacentral:rRNA from 1 species